rnacentral:rRNA from 1 species
AUGACUCCAUGUAAAGCAUGAUUACCCAUUGAGUUUAAGCAUACCAAUAAGUAAAGGAAAAGAAACUUACUAAGAUUCCCCUAGUAAUGGCAAUUGAACCAAUAAUAACCUAGCUUAAGAAUUAGGUGCCAUUGAUGUCUAAAUUAUAGUCUAGAGAAGCAUCUUUAGCAACGGACUGAGCCUAAGUCCCCUAGAAAGGGGUGCCAAAGAGGGUGAGAGCCCUAUUGUGCUUGGACCCUAUCACACAUAAGGCAUUGUUUGUGAGUCGAGUUGUUUGGGAAUACAACCUCAGUCGGUUGGUAAAUUCUAUCUAAGGCUGAAUACGGGUGAGAGACUUAUAGCAAAUAAGUACCACAAGGAAAAGGUGAAAAGAACUUUGAAAAGAAAUUCAAAGAGUGCUUGAAAUUGUUAGGAGGGAAGCAGAUGGGGGCCAGUGAUAUGCAUUGGUCAGAUGUGGAAUGGUGAGAGCCAGUCCACCAACUAGUUUAGGGCAUGGACUGAUGUGGGUCGUGGCAGUGACCUAAGCUUAAACUUUUAAUAUGCCAAUGGAGAUGUCAUCACCAUGAUUAUGGAAUGUAGCACAUGCCAUCUUAUUAUGCCUUAGUGUUAAUCUCAUCAUGCCUUAGCAUCGACAUGCUUUUAGCACUAGCGUGCUUUUGAUGUCUGCCUGUAAGCUUACCACUCGACCUAUCUUGAAACAUGGACCAAGGAGUGUAACAUGCGUACGAGUCAAUGGGCUAGAAAACACCAUAAAGUGCAAGUUGAUUGGUGGGAUCCAUCAUGGGUGCACCGUUGAUCAACUUUGGUCUUUUGAGAAGGGUUUGAGUGUGAAAUGCUUGUUAGGACUCAAAAGAUGUGAACUAUGCCUGAGCAGGGUAAGGCCAGAGAAAAUUUUGAUGGAGACCCAUAGUGAUACUGGCAUGUAAAUCAUUUAUUUGACUGGGGUAUAAGGGUAAAAGACUAAUCGAACUAUUUAUCAGUAGGUUCCCACCUAAGUUUUCCUUAGGAUAGCUGAGCCUUUAGCAAGUUUUAUCAGGUAAAGCCAAUGAUUAGAGGCAUUGGGGGUGCAAUGCCCUCAACCUAUUCUCAAACUUUAAAUAGGUAGGAUGGUGUGACUACUUUAUUCAGCCAUGCCAUAGAAUCAAAAGCUCAAAGUGGGCCAUUUUUGGUAAGCAAAACUAGCAAUGUGGGAUGAGCUGGAAACCAAGUUACCUUGCCCAAUUACAUGUUAACCUAGAACCCACAAAAGGAGUUGGUCGAUUAAAACAAUAGGAUAGUGGUCACGAAAAUUGAAAUCUGUUAAGGAGUGUGUAACAACUCACCUACGAAAUCAACUAGCCCCAAAAAUAGAUGACGCUUAAGAGCGUAACCUAUACCCAGCAUUAGGGUAAGGUCAGGCUGGAUGAGCAGGGGCAUAGUAGUCACCAUAAAAUCUGGGCACAAGCUCAAGUGGAGCAACCAUCAAUGUAGAUCUUGCUGGUAGUAACAAAUAUUUAAUUGAGAAAUUUAAAGGUUAAAGAAUGCAAAGUUUCCAUUUGAACGGCACUUACACGAAGGUUAGUCAAUCCUAAGUGAUAGGGGAGCUAGUUUGAUAGUGUCUCUAGUGCAAGCUUCAAAAGGGAAUUAGGUUAAAAUUCUUAAACUGAGAAACAAUGGCAAAUGGCAACAUUAAGGAGUCUAGAGACAUCAGCAGAGGCCUCGAUAAGAGUUAUCUAUUCUAUUUAAUGGCCUACAUGCCCUGGAAAAGGUUCAGUAGAAGGUAGGGUCCAAUAGCUCGAAGAGCACCACACAUCACGUGGUGUUUGAUUUAUCUCUUAUGGCCCUUGAAAAUCUAGAAGAUUGAGUGCCAUCUAAGCCUAGUCAUACUCAUAACUGCAUCAAGUCUUUAAGGUGAACAACCUUUAGUUAGCAGAAUAAUGUAGGCAAGGGAAAUUGGCAAAAUUGAUCUGUAACUUUCAAAAAAAGAUUAACUCUGAAGGCUGGGCAUGGGGGUCCUAAUCCCAAACCCAUCGGUUGUCGAUGCAUUGCUCAAGCUAAUCUCAUGAUGAGAAUAGGUCACCAUGUACUAACCAAGGAACAAACUUGGAAUGGCUCCUUAAUGGGCCCUUCUCAAGCAAUGAACAAUUAACACAAAACUGGUAUGGACAAGGGGAAUCCGAUUAUUUAAUUCAAACAAAGCAUUAUGAUGGUUCCUAUAGAUGCUCACAUAAUGUGAUUUUUCCCAGUGCUUUGAAUGUCAAGGUGAAAAAAUUCAACCAAGCAUGGGUAAAUAGUGAGAGUAACUAUUGCUCUCUUAAGAUAGCCAAAUGCCUCACAAUCUAAUUAGUGAUGCACAUGAAUGGAUUAACGAGAUUCCCAUUAUCCCUAUCUACUAUCUAGCAAAACCACAGCCAUGGGAAUGAGCUUGGUAAAAUCAAUAGGGAAAGAAGACCAUAUUGAGCUUGACUAUAGUCCAACUUUGUGAAAUGACUUGUGAGGUGUCAGAUAAGUGGGAGCCUUCGAUAAAAUUGAAAAUACCACUACUUUUUAAUGUUAUUUUACUUAUUCCAUAAAUUAGAGGUAGGGCACAACCCCUUCUUUUAGACCCAAGGCUAACCUUGGUUGAUUGAUCUGAGUGGAAAACAUUAUCAGGUGUGAAGUUUGGCUAGGGUAGCACAUCUAUUACAAGAUAACGUAAGUGUCUUAAGAUAAGCUCAAUGAGAAUAGAAAUCUCAUAUAGAACAAAGGGUAAAAACUCAUUUGUUUUAAAUUUCCAAUAUCAAUAUAAACCAUGAAAGCAUGGCCUAUCGAUCUUUUAGACCUUCAGAAUUGAAGCUAGAGGUGUCAAAAAAGUUACCACAAAGAUAAUUAGCUUGUAGUAGCCAAGCAUUCAUAACAACAUUGCUUUUUCAUCCUUUGAUAUCAGCUUUGCCUAUCAUUAUGAAAUAGAAUUCACUAAGUGUUGGAUUGUUCACCCACUAAUUAGGAAUGUGAGAUGGGUUUAGACCAUCAUGAGAUAGGUUAGUUUUACCCUAUUAAUAGUAGUAUCAUAAUAGUACUUCCACUUAGUAUGAAAAGAACUGUUGAUUUUUACAAUUGGCCAUCGUGCCUGGUUGAAAAGUUAAUGGCAUAAAGCUAUCGUACAUUGGAUCAUGACUAAACACCUCUAAGUUAGAAUCUAGGCUAGAAGUGUGCCUAUCUCCCAAUUGCUGACCCAUAGUAGAGGCCCAUGGUCCCUAAAGGCAUGUGUCAUAGAUGCAACCCCCAAGGCGGACAAGCCUUGAAGGCCUCCUUAGAGCCCAAUCCCACAAAGUGAUGGGU